UACGUAGGGUGCAGGCGUUAAUCGAAAUUACUGGGCGUAAAGCGUGCGCAGGCGGUUUGCUAAGACAGGUGUGAAAUCCCCGGGCUUAACCUGGGAACUGCGCUUGUUACUGGCAGGCUUGAGUGUGGCAGAGGGGGGUGGAAUUCCACGUGUAGCAGUGAAAUGCGUAGAGAUGUGGAGGAACACCGAUGGCGAAGGCAGCCUCCUGGGCUAACACUGACGCUCAUGCACGAAAGCGUGGGGAGCAAACAGG
rnacentral:rRNA from 1 species